rnacentral:rRNA from 1 species
CCGCCUGGGGAGUACGGCCGCAAGGUUAAAACUCAAAUGAAUUGACGGGGGCCCGCACAAGCGGUGGAGCAUGUGGUUUAAUUCGAUGCAACGCGAAGAACCUUACCUACUCUUGACAUCCAGAGAACUUAGCAGAGAUGCUUUGGUGCCUUCGGGAACUCUGAGACAGGUGCUGCAUGGCUGUCGUCAGCUCGUGUUGUGAAAUGUUGGGUUAAGUCCCGCAACGAGCGCAACCCUUAUCCUUUGUUGCCAGCG